rnacentral:rRNA from 1 species
UACGUAGGGUGCGAGCGUUAAUCGGAAUUACUGGGCGUAAAGCGCGUGUAGGCGGUCUCGCAAGUCGGAUGUGAAAGCCCAGGGCUCAACCCUGGAAGUGCACUCGAUACUGCGAGGCUAGAGUCCCGGAGAGGAUGGUGGAACUCUCGGUGUAGAGGUGAAAUUCGUAGAUAUCGAGAAGAACACCGGUGGCGAAGGCGGCCAUCUGGACGGUGACUGACGCUGAGACGCGAAAGCGUGGGGAGCAAACAGG